rnacentral:rRNA from 1 species
UACGUAGGGAGCUAGCGUUGUCCGGAAUCAUUGGGCGUAAAGCGCGCGUAGGCGGCCCGGUAAGUCCGCUGUGAAAGUCAAAGGCUCAACCUUUGAAUGUCAGCGGAUACUGCCGGGCUAGAGUACGGAAGAGGCGAGUGGAAUUCCUGGUGUAGCGGUGAAAUGCGCAGAUAUCAGGAGGAACACCUAUUGCGAAGGCAGCUCGCUGGGACGUUACUGACGCUGAGACGCGAAAGCGUGGGGAGCGAACAGG